CUACCAGGGCCGCCCUGGCCCUCUUGCCCGGUCUGGGGAGUGGGAGGGGGCCCUCCGUGUGCGCCCUGAGGCUCUGCCUGAUCUCUCCUCCUAGAAGGUGGGAAUGGAGGAACCUUCUCUGCACACCUCUGCCUGAGCUGGGGGAAGGGCGGGAUCAGAAACACCAGGAGACCCUGCCCCCACUGAAGUUUGAGGAGACAAGGUCUUGGAAAGAGUCCAGCUGGGAUUGCCGUCGCCAGUCAUACCAAAUGGCCACGGUGCCAUUAUUGACCACAGUCAGUUCUGAAGAUGUUUUUUGCCCUUCUACAGUUUCAAAGGUCAGGCGGACAGCAAUUCCAACAUGCCUCUGGGGAGAGAGAAGGCACGAGAGAUGUCUCUGCGGGAGCUCCUGGCCUAGGAUGACCAACUCAGCCUGGUUUGCUGAGACUUUUCUGGGUUUGGCACUGGAAGUCUCCUGUCCUGGGCCUCCAGGGCCUGGCCACUCUCAAACAGAUAGGCCUCAUACCCCGAAAGUGGCUGUCUCUGCCAUCAACAAUGAGAAGAGGAGAUAAAACAGAUUUUAUAUCUGAUGAACAUUUCUGCUUCUUAGUAUCUGAAGAAUACUUUAGAACCUUCUUAAAGCCAUACUUCUUUGAGAAGGUAUUCCAGUCGACUCCAGAACGCACUGGUCAAUUCACAGCCCUGGCAAUGGAAGGUGGAUGAGUCAGGCCACCUGCGCACCUUGGAGAGAGGCUGGUGAGGCGCCUGGGAGGACAAGAGCUCCACAGACUACAGAUGCUCCCUUUGGGGGAUUCCCGCUGCCCUGAGAGAAGGAGAGAAGCCGUGUUGGCAGUGUGCGGUCAAGGAGCUCCCGUUCCUCCUGGAUCUGUCUGUAGGUCUCCCCCGUGUGCAUCAGCAGCUCACCAACCGGCUUCUUCAGCCGUUCUAGAGACAGAGCCAAGAAUGCAGUCCCACCACCAAAUCAGAACAAGCAGGGGCCCGCGUUCUCUGCACUGAUCAGUUCCAGUCACUGGGCUGAUUUCACGACCCACUAAGAGCAAGAAGCACUUGGGAGUGCCCGGCACAAAUGUGACCAGCCUGAAUCCAGGCUACGGAAGUGGAGGGAGAGAAAAAAACACAGCAGCAGAGCCUUGAUACCAGACGAGGCCAGGCAGGAGCCCUGUGCACUCUGCUCACCACUGAGGGUUUCCUGCUGCUUCUUCCGAAGGGCUAUGUUGCGCUGCCAGUUUUUCAGAAAGUUGUGCUGAGGAGCUGGUGUUGACACCCUCAUCCGCUGCACGACUGAGCCAUUUUUAUUGGACCCCACGCCUCUUAGCACCUGAUCAAUCAGAGAUUUCUUUGCCUGGAACCAGGGAAGUAAAGGAACUGAGAGAGAGAGAGAAGCUGCGUGACAGGAGAGUCAGAAAGACACAGACUCUCCACGUGGCCCCCGGAGCUGCAGGGAGCCAGCUUCCUCCACCAUGUGGACAGAGGAGGAGAGCAGCCCAGUCUUCAGAGAAGGGGAAAUAAAGCCGGGGCACAGAGGAGCCGAGGGCACGAGAGAGCAUGGGCUCAGCCUGACGGGAGCCAUUCACACUCUCGCCUUUGGGUUCCUCAAGGCACUUCUGUCUCCUUAUAGUGAAUUCCUGACUUCAGCUGAAGCUAGCUUACGUUGGCUUCAAUAUCUGGGGGAAGGGUCACUUAUCACCUCGGAUUCUGGGGCCCGGAGCCUGGACUCUCUUUGUAACCCCAGUUCUGCUAGACUCUCCCGGGUGGUAGGACUGCAGUGACCGCAGUGACUUCU